AAGCAGUCUCAAAAACGAAACC
rnacentral:snRNA from 1 species